rnacentral:rRNA from 1 species
GCAUACGGUGGAUGCCUUGGCAGUCAGAGGCGAUGAAAGACGUGGAAGCCUGCGAUAAGGCUCGGGGAGCUGGCAAACAAGCUGUGAUCCGGGCAUCUCUGAAUGGGGAAACCCACCGGUCUUCGGACCGGUACCGUACGGUGAAUACAUAGCCGUACGGGGCGAACUCGGGGAACUGAAACAUCUAAGUACCCUUAGGAAAAGAAAUCAACCGAGAUUCCCUCAGUAGCGGCGAGCGAACGGGGACCAGCCCUUAAGCUGGACAACUGGUAGGAGAAGGCCCUGGAAAGAGCCGCCAUAGUGGGUGAUAGCCCCGUAUCCGAAACCUGAGUCCAGUGAAAUCGAGUAGGACGGGACACGAGACAUCCUGUCUGAACAUGGGGGGACCAUCCUCCAAGGCUAAAUACUCCUAACUGACCGAUAGUGAACCAGUACCGUGAGGGAAAGGCGAAAAGAACCCCUGUGAGGGGAGUGAAAUAGAUCCUGAAACCGUAUGCGUACAAGCAGUCGGAGCGGACUUGUUCCGUGACGGCGUACCUUUUGUAUAAUGGGUCAGCGACUUAUGUUCAGUGGCGAGGUUAACCGUUUAGGGGAGCCGUAGGGAAACCGAGUCUGAAUAGGGCGAUUUAGUCGCUGGGCAUAGACCCGAAACCGGGCGAUCUAUCCAUGAGCAGGUUGAAGGUUGAGUAACAUCAACUGGAGGACCGAACCCACUAACUUUGAAAAGUUAGGGGAUGACCUGUGGCUGGGGGUGAAAGGCCAAUCAAACCGGGAGAUAGCUGGUUCUCCCCGAAAUCUAUUUAGGUAGAGCCUCGGACGAAUUCCAUUGGGGGUAGAGCACUGUUAAGGCUAGGGGGUCAUCCCGACUUACCAACCCUUUGCAAACUCCGAAUACCAAUGAGAACUAUCCGGGAGACACACGGCGGGUGCUAACGUCCGUCGUGGAGAGGGAAACAACCCAGACCGCCAGCUAAGGUCCCAAAAUAUUGCUAAGUGGGAAACGAUGUGGGAAGGCAUAGACAGCUAGGAGGUUGGCUUAGAAGCAGCCACCCUUUAAAGAAAGCGUAAUAGCUCACUAGUCGAGUCGGCCUGCGCGGAAGAUGUAACGGGGCUAAGCAAUAUACCGAAGCUGCGGCAGCAAGUUUACUUGCUGGGUAGGGGAGCGUUGUGUAAGUGGAUGAAGGUGAGUUGUAAAGCUUGCUGGACAUAUCACAAGUGCGAAUGCUGACAUGAGUAACGAUAAUGGGAGUGAAAAACUCCCACGCCGGAAGACCAAGGUUUCCUGUCCCAUGCUAAUCAGGGCAGGGUAAGUCGGCCCCUAAGGCGAGGCAGAAAUGCGUAGUCGAUGGGAAACGGGUUAAUAUUCCCGUACUUAUAUAAUCAGUGAUGGAGGGACGGAGAAGGCUAGGCAAGCUUGGCGUUGGUUGUCCAAGUGAAAGUGAGUAGGCUGAAGACUUAGGUAAAUCCGGGUUUUCAAGGCCGAGACACGAGACGAGCUCCCAAGGGAGUGAAGUUGUUGAUGCCCUGCUUCCAGGAAAAGCUUCUAAACUUAUGAUUAUAUGAACCGUACCCCAAACCGACACAGGUGGUCAGGUAGAGAAUACUAAGGCGCUUGAGAGAACUCGGGUGAAGGAACUCGGCAAAAUUGUACCGUAACUUCGGGAGAAGGUACGCCUCUGUUUGUGAACACUUCGCGUGGUAAGCAAAUGGAGGCCGCAGUGACCAGGUGGCUGGGACUGUUUAUUAAAAACACAGCACUCUGCAAACUCGUAAGAGGACGUAUAGGGUGUGACACCUGCCCGGUGCCGGAAGGUUAAUUGAUGGGGUUAGUUUUCGGACGAAGCUCUUGAUCGAAGCCCCGGUAAACGGCGGCCGUAACAAUAACGGUCCUAAGGUAGCGAAAUUCCUUGUCGGGUAAGUUCCGACCCGCACGAAUGGCGUAAUGAUUUGGAAGCUGUCUCGAGGAGGGACUCGGCGAAAUAGCAAUGUCUGUGAAGAUGCGGACUACCUGUGCCAGGACAUUAAGACCCUAUGAAGCUUUACUGUAUCUUGACAUUGAAUCUUGAUUUUAUUUGCGCAGAAUAGGUGGGAGACUAUGAGUAUUCUCUUAUGGGGGGAUAGGAGUCAUCGUUGAGAUACCACUCUUGUAAAAUUGAUAUUCUAACUUCAUACCGUUAGCCGGUUGAAAGACAGUGUCAGGUGGGCAGUUUGACUGGGGCGGUCGCCUCCCAAAAGGUAACGGAGGCGCACAAAGGUUUCCUCAGAUCGUUCAGAAAUCGAUCUUAGAGUGUAAAGGCAAAAGGAAGCUUAACUGUGAGACCUACAAGUCGAGCAGAGACGAAAGUCGGUCUUAGUGAUCUGACGCUGCUGUGUGGAAAGGGCGUCACUCAACGGAUAAAAGUUACUCUAGGGAUAACAGGCUGAUCUCCCCCAAGAGUUCCUAUCGACGGGGAGGUUUGGCACCUCGAUGUCGGCUCAUCGCAUCCUGGGGCGGUAGUACGUCCCAAGGGUUGGGCUGUUCGCCCAUUAAAGCGGUACGCGAGCUGGGUUCAGAACGUCGUGAGACAGUUCGGUCCAUAUCCGGCAUGGGCGUUUGAGUAUUGAGAGUGACCUUUCUCUAGUACGAGAGGACCGAGAAAGAUAUACCGCUAGUGUACCAGUUAUCGUGCCAUCGGUAAACGCUGGGUAGCUAUGUAUAGUUAGGAUAACCGCUGAAGGCAUCUAAGUGGGAAGCCGUCCUCAAGAUGAGUACUCAUAGGUUGCGGCAAGACGAGCCGUUUGAUAGGCAUCCGGUGUACGUGCAGUAAUGUAUUUAGCCUAGAUGUACUAAUAAC